GACCAAACAGCUCCAACACAGGUAAGCACUCCCCCACUGCUCACUCCGCCCUCUUCCCGAAUGAGUUUCCUGCUUCUGUGGGACAGACCUGGGAGAGCUGCAACAGAGCAGAAGGUGUGUGAUCGUCUAGAAAUUGCUUUGGAUUCAGAACCUGGGAAAACGAGGUUCUAGUUUUCUGCUCAGAAUUUGUACCACGGGAUCUUCCAUCGUUUCCUAUCUUCCCACAUUCACUAGUUUCCAGCUUUUAGUUUCAACAGAAACCUUUGCUGCCUCCCUACCAGAAAAUUCAAAAGGAGGAAGGGAGAGUUUUACUGGUGUCCCAUACUCAGGUCUGAAGGGGAAGAAGCGGGGGCAAAAGAGCUUGCACAUUUUUCCUUGUGAUGAAGAGAGAAGUUAAAGCAUGACUGCUCCUACCUACCAAACCCCCUCUCUGAUGUCUGUCCCCUUAACCGCUCACCUGUUGUCAGCUGCCUGCUGCCUCCUUUCUUGCCAUGUGGUUAGAGACACACUGGAAGAACAUCCGCCAAACCCUGCUGCUUCUGUUCACCGCUGCUCUUCUCAUCGGGGUCACCAUGCUGGCCAUCUCAUCUAACAUCAACCCAGUGGGCUAUUUCUUCCUGGGGGUAGGGGGCGUGUGCCUCAUCGGCUACUUGCUGAGUGUGUUUGUCGAGUGUUACCUGAGCAAUCAGCACCGACGUGAUGCGAAUGAGACGCCUCCAAAUAGGCAAAGCCAAGCAGGGGUGAACGCUGCCUACGAAGCGCCCACCUAUGAGGAGGUGAUGACCACAUCAGUUCCAGCGAUAUGGACGAUUGCCUCCAACCCAGGCUCGGUGCCCUCCCCGCUGAACGAGCCUCCUCCUUACAACGCAGUUAUUGAAUCGUCCUCCCGAGAGGAGAUGACGGUGGAGGCUCUCAGGGUGUCGGUGGCAUCAGAGCCCGAGGCAGGCGCAGGCUCCAGGCUCCAGCUGCAGCUGGUGCUGCCCCCAAGGCUGCAGCGCUUUGUUUCCGACAUCCAUGAAGUGAAAGGCAUUGAGGAGAGGUUUGAGCCGCUGGCGCCACUCACUCCACCACCUGCUUAUGAGACUGCCAUCAAUGAUGAUGUCUUCGAAGAUGCUUUCCAGCCUACCAUGCUAUGAUUAAUUUCACCUUCCGUGACUGCAGAACCAAUCCUCCACCCCAAUACAGGAUGGUCCUAGAGGGAAGGUGAAAGAGCUGAGAUUUUUCACACCUGGAACUGCAGAAGUUUGUCUCACCAUUCUUACAACCAGAGUGGAGAGACAGACGCAGCUUCUAAUGUCACUAGAAUCUUUUUGCACAAAAUAUCAAUCAAUGCAAUACCACAACACUGUCUCGGCAGAUACAUAGAACCACUGUGAGGACAGUUGUGUUCUCAGUGGCACCAGUUCUCAAACAGGAGAUGCACCUUCCUGGGGGAGGAGAGGGAACCACGAGAGAGGACAAGGUUGCCAAAGGACCUCUGAAGGACUGUGGGAUGCAGCCAGAAGCUGCCUGGGGAAGGGGGGGGGGGGACAGAAGCUGCACCGAGGCAGUUCUACCUGCGCAUUGCAAACAGCAGCACUGCUGAGAGCUGUGCAGUCACCAGCCACCCUAAAAUCCCUGCAGAGUGACCGAGGCUGCUGUUUCACAGCAAUACAGAUCUAUGGUCUGUGCUGCUUGUUGCUACUCCCCUGUUGCACCUUCUCCACAUCCUCGCUGCACUGCGUGGGAGCGCAGCUGGGGGGAGGCUGGUGGGCCUCCUUCAUCUGCCUGGUACCUGGCAUUUGGGGUUGAAGCGCUGAAGGCAAACGUGGCACCAGGAAUGACUUCUGUGGUUCACCAGGUCCUCAUCCCACCCGGCCCGCCAUGGUGGGCAAGAGGGAGAUAAUAGCAAUGUGUCACCCAUGAGAGUGGCCAGCAGUGGGAUGCACCCACAGAGGCAUCCUCUGCCUGCACUGCUGCCCUUCACAGCCCCACGGGGGAGGGGAGGGGGUUCUGCUGCCCUACAGACCCACCCAAGCAGGUGGCUCUCUGUACUUCACUGUCCUCAUGGCCAGCGUUUGUGCAGAAAGGCACACGCUCCUCCCAUUCUCUGUAGCUGUGCACGGAAGCUUCUUGUCAGCCCCAGGAGGGGCCACCUGCCUGCUGAGGCCACAGCCGAGGGCACCUGAGUCACAGCCCCAGCGCGCUCGCCGUCCUUGUCACGGUGGCUCUGCGUCACAGCCAGUGCAAGCUGCCAGCGAGUGACACUGGCAGGCUCUGCAGCGUCACGGCCGUCUGCAGUACACAGACUGACACAGGCCUGGGCAAUGUCCAAAGCAAAAAUAAAAAUGCGGUGGCCUGAACCUCCUCAUGGUGGGGAGCAGCAGCUGUCACAGCCUUGUCUCAUGCAACUGCAUUGUCUGUAAUUCAUAUGAGGAACCAUCAAACCGUAAGCAAAUAAAUUAUUUCUUGUUUCUUUAUAGUUCAAAGGAAAAAAAAAGACCUUUAAUGUUGUUUACAAAUAAAUGAGACUGUAU
ensembl:lncRNA